UGGAGAGGGAGAGAGAGGAAAGAUGAGAGGUUGUUACUCUCAGUCUUUGAUUAACUGGUUUCUUUCAUUCUAGUAGGGUCUUUAUUAUUUAGAAAAAUAAAAAUGAUCCGAGGCUCUCUCUCCAUUCUCACCCCCAAAAUUUGGAGUAGGUAAUGGAUGUCUACAACCUGGUCCAACAUAUGCCCCCAAACUAAAACAAACAAACUCAUUUGCCAUACAAAUUGUUUACGAUUCAUUAAAAAGCAAAAUUGCAUAUCCCGGUGCUGGCAGCUGAGGCCGAGCCUCCACGGGCGGAGGGGGCAUUCACUGAGUUGCCUUUGUAUGCUGGGAGGACCAAGCCGGAGGUUCCCACUAUGCAGCCUGGAGUCUGUGCAGCCAGAUGACGCAUGAGAAAAAAGAAACGACAACUUAUAAGCAACCAACAGCAUAUACAUUUGGAAAUAAGAAGAUGAGGAGAAUAGAGGCAAAAUAUUUCUGUCUGCUUAUUUGGUUGCUCAAAGAACUUAAGUGUUAUUAUGAAGCCGAGUAAUCAGUAUCCUUCUUCACAGCUGUAUGAAAACAUGCAGGUUUGAUAUCAGCCGGACCUGAAUAGAAGCCUGUGACAUUGACCUUGAUAGACCCAUGUGUAUUGGCCUUCUGCAGGCUACUUUUUACUUUUAUGACCAGAUACAGUGACCUGGAGCAGCACUUCCCUCUGUAAUGGGCAAUCCAGUGCCCUCAAGAAGAUUGAAGAGGAUUCAUGACACUCACCCAAUGAUCUCUUGGAGCCUCUUGCUGUGAAUUUCGGCUUCUUGAUUGACCAGCUCACAUUUUUGUCUCUUGUGGCUGUCCUGCUGCCUCUCUCCCAUCUGUCUCAUUCAUUGAUGGGAGUUUUCUCCUUCAUUCUCGAAAGCAUCACUGACACAAGGAAGUUAUAUGCAACAGACUUUUACUAAAAAUUUAAGGAUGGCUCCAGGGAUUAGAGCACAGAACAGGAACCAACCCAAAAUGCAAAACUAGAUUACUAGACAUCUUGGAAACUGCCAGCCCUCCUUCCUGCAGGGAAAGCCUCACUUGCUCUGUUUAUGUUCAGGUCCUGCUUGUAGACGUGUCUCAUUAGACCACAGCUACAAAAUUUCUAUUCCUAAUCAUAUCCUUUUUUAUUUUUGUAAAUUAUUACCCACCCAGAACAAUAUAAGAGGCCUCGUUGUGUACAAGGCUUGUUUUUUUUUUUUUUUUAAACAGUGCACAGUCUCUAAAUUUUAUUCUCAAAUAAAUGAUUGUUGUUUAGUCA